GGGCCGCACGCGCGCUACACUGACGGAGCCAGCGAGUUUUUGUCCUUGGCCGAGAGGUCUGGGUAAUCUUGUGAAACUCCGUCGUGCUGGGGAUCGGCCUUUGCAAUUCUUGGCCGUCAACGAGGAAUUCCUAGUAAGCGCAAGUCAUCAGCUUGCGUUGAUUACGUCCC
rnacentral:rRNA from 1 species